rnacentral:rRNA from 1 species
CCUACGGGAGGCUGCAGUGAGGAAUAUUGGUCAAUGGCCGAGAGGCUGAACCAGCCAAGUCGCGUGAGGGAUGACGGCCCUACGGAUUGUAAACCUCUUUUGUCGGGGAGCAAAGAGUGUCACGCGUCCCCCAAUGAGAGUACCUGAAGAAAAAGCAUCGGCUAACUCCGUGCCCGCAGCCGCGGUAAUACGGAGGAUGCGAGCGUUAUCCGGAUUUAUUGGGUUUAAAGGGUGCGCAGGCGGUGUUGUACGUCAGUGGUCAAAUGCCGGGGCUCAACCCCGUACUGCCGUUGAAACUGGAAGCCUCGAGUGGGCGAGAAGUAGGCGGAAUGCGUGGUGUAGCGGUGAAAUGCAUAGAUAUCACGCAGAACUCCGAUUGCGAAGGCAGCAUGCCGGCGCGAAACUGACGCUGAUGCACGAAAGCGUGGGUAUCGAACAGGAUUAGAUACCCGUGUAGUC